AGUGAACGCUGGCGGUAGGCCUAACACAUGCAAGUCGAACGGCAGCACAGUAAGAGCUUGCUCUUACGGGUGGCGAGUGGCGGACGGGUGAGGAAUACAUCGGAAUCUACUUUUUCGUGGGGGAUAACGUAGGGAAACUUACGCUAAUACCGCAUACGACCUACGGGUGAAAGCAGGGGAUCUUCGGACCUUUCGCGAUUGAAUGAGCCGAUGCCGGAUUAGCUAGUUGGCGGGGUAAAGGCCCACCAAGGCGACGAUCCGUAGCUGGUCUGAGAGGAUGAUCAGCCACACUGGAACUGAGACACGGUCCAGACUCCUACGGGAGGCAGCAGUGGGGAAUAUUGGACAAUGGGCGCAAGCCUGAUCCAGCCAUACCGCGUGGGUGAAGAAGGCCUUCGGGUUGUAAAGCCCUUUUGUUAGGAAAGAAAAGCAGCAGAUUAAUACCCCGCUGUUCUGACGGUACCCAAAGAAUAAGCACCGGCUAACUUCGUG
rnacentral:rRNA from 1 species